CCUACGGGUGGCAGCAGUGAGGAAUAUUGGGCAAUGGACGAGAGUCUGAACCAGCCAAGUAGCGUGAAGGAUGACUGCCCUAUGGGUUGUAAACUUCUUUUAUAAAGAAAUAAAACGAGGCACGUAUGCCUUUUUGCAUGUACUUUAUGUGUAAGGAUCGGCUAACUCCAUUCCAGCAGCCGCGGUAAUACGGAGGGUCCGAGCGUUAUACGGAUUGAUUGGGUUUAAAGGGAGCGUAGAGGGGUUGUUAAGUCAGGUGUGAAAGCUCGCGGCUCAACCGUAAAAUUGCAAUUGAUACUGGCAGUCUUGAGUACAGGUGAGGUAGGCGGAAUUCGAGGUGUAGCGGUGAAAUGCUUAGAUAUCACGAAGAACCCCGAUUGCGAAGGCAGCUUACUAACCUGUGACUGACAUUGAUGCGCGAAAGUGUGGGUAUCAAACAGGAUUAGAUACCCCAGUAGUC
rnacentral:rRNA from 1 species